rnacentral:rRNA from 1 species
GCGUAAGCGCACGCAGUGCGGUCUGUCAAGUCGGAUGUGAAAUCCCCGGGCUCAACCUGGGAACUGCAUUCGAAACUGGCAGGCUAGAGUCUUGUAGAGGGGGGUAGAAUUCCAGGUGUAGCGGUGAAAUGCGUAGAGAUCUGGAGGAAUACCGGUGGCGAAGGCGGCCCCCUGGACAAAGACUGACGCUCAGGUGCGAAAGCGUGGGGAGCAAACAGGAUUAGAUACCCUGGUAGUCCACGCCGUAAACGAUGUCGACUUGGAGGUUGUGCCCUUGAGGCGUGGCUUCCGGAGCUAACGCGUUAAGUCGACCGCCUGGGGAGUACGGCCGCAAGGUUAAAACUCAAAUGAAUUGACGGGGGCCCGCACAAGCGGUGGAGCAUGUGGUUUAAUUCGAUGCAACGCGAAGAACCUUACCUACUCUUGACAUCCAGAGAACUUAGCAGAGAUGCUUUGGUGCCUUCGGGAACUCUGAGACAGGUGCUGCAUGGCUGUCGUCAGCUCGUGUUGUGAAAUGUUGGGUUAAGUCCCGCAACGAGCGCAACCCUUAUCCUUUGUUGCCAGCGGUUAGGCCGGGAACU